UUUUAAGGUUAUUUUUUACUGGUUUUAAGGUAGUUUUAUUCUGGUUUUAAGGUAGUUUUUAAGGUGUUUUGAAGGUAGUUUUAAGGUGGUAUUAUAGUGUUUUUAAGGUUAUUUUUUACUGGUUUUAAGGUAGUUUUUCAGGUGGUUUGAAGGUAGUUUUAAGGUGGUAUUAUAGUGUUUUUAAGGUUAUUUUAUUCUGGUUUGAAGGUAGUUUUAUUCUGGUGUUUUGAAGGUAGUUUUAAGGUGGUAUUAUGGUGUUUUUAAGGUUAUUUUUUACUGGUUUUAAGGUAGUUUUAUUCUGGUUUUAAGGUAGUUUUUAAGGUGGUUUGAUGGUAGUUUUAAGGUGGUUUGAAGGUAGUUUUAAGGUGGUUUGAAGUCAGUUUUAAGGUGGUAUUAUGGUGGUUUUAUUUGUUUGACGGUGUUCCUGUUCGAGGCCUAUAAUUGAACUCUGACCUCUGCGGCGCUCACAGGUGUUUCACAGCCUCUAAACUAACGUCCUGUUGAUGUAGAAACUCUCACAGGCAGCUGUGGGCAGAUGUGAUCACAUGCACUCCGUUUCCCAGAGGUCUUUGCUGCUGCUGCUGCUCUGAAACUCCUCGGAGACAAACAGG
rnacentral:lncRNA from 1 species